rnacentral:tRNA from 1 species
UGGUACAGUAGUUAGUACUCAGCACUUUCACUGCUGGGGCCUGGGUUCAAUCCCUG